CAACUGGGAUUGCCUCAGUAACGGCGAGUGAAGCGGCAAUAGCUCAAAUUUGAAAUCUGGCUCUUUCAGAGUCCGAGUUGUAAUUUGUAGAGGAUGCUUCGGCUUACGCCCCGGUCUAAGUUCCUUGGAACAGGACGUCACAGAGGGUGAGAAUCCCGUACGUGGCCGGCGGCCUCCGCCAUGUGAAGCUCCUUCGACGAGUCGAGUUGUUUGGGAAUGCAGCUCUAAAUGGGAGGUAAAUUUCUUCUAAAGCUAAAUACUGGCCAGAGACCGAUAGCGCACAAGUAGAGUGAUCGAAAGAUGAAAAGCACUUUGGAAAGAGAGUUAAAAAGUACGUGAAAUUGUUGAAAGGGAAGCGCUUGCAACCAGACUUGCCCGCGGUUGUUCAGCCGGUCCUUCGGCCGGUGCACUCUUCCGCGGUCAGGCCAGCAUCAGUUUAGGCGGUCGGAUAAAGGCUCUAGGAAUGUAGCUCUCUUCGGGGAGUGUUAUAGCCUGGGGCGCAAUACGGCCCGCCUGGACUGAGGUCCGCGCUUCGGCUAGGAUGCUGGCGUAAUGGUUGUAAGCGGCCCGUCUUGAAACACGGACCAAGGAGUCUAACAUCUAUGCGAGUGUUUGGGUGUCAAACCCGUGCGCGUAAUGAAAGUGAACGGAGGUGGGAACCUUAGGGUGCACCAUCGACCGAUCCUGAUGUCUUCGGAUGGAUUUGAGUAAGAGCAUAGCUGUUGGGACCCGAAAGAUGGUGAACUAUGCCUGAAUAGGGUGAAGCCAGAGGAAACUCUGGUGGAGGCUCGCAGCGGUUCUGACGUGCAAAUCGAUCGUCAAAUUUGGGUAUAGGGGCGAAAG
rnacentral:rRNA from 1 species